UCCUUUUUUUUUUGGUUCUUCGUUACUACCGUCUCUGUGAUUUGUUGUCUGGUGCCAGUGAUGGUGUGUGUGAUAUUCUAUCAAACCCGAUGCGCGUCUCUCUGAUUUCGUUUCUAAUCCGAUCAUCUCCGUUCAUUCUUCUUCUAGGGUUUUGGUUUUGGAUGAAUCAGUGAUGGCUUAGAUGAAGAGUAAAGACUCUUCUCCUGGGCUACAUCUUCGGGUGUUGGAUGAUGCGAUCAGUUAUGGCUUUUCUCUGUUGGCUGUGCCAACAUCUUCAGGGGUAUUUCAGAAGCGAAUUAUGAUAAAGAUCAUCCCGCACGUAUUAGUUCUUCUCCUUGAUACGUCUUCAGGCCAC